GUCAGGACGAACGCUGGCGGCGUGCUUAACACAUGCAAGUCGAGCGGUAAGGCCCUUCGGGGUACACGAGCGGCGAACGGGUGAGUAACACGUGGGUGAUCUGCCUCGCACUUCGGGAUAAGCCUGGGAAACUGGGUCUAAUACCGGAUAUGACCUUUCAGUGCAUGCUGUUUGGUGGAAAGAUUUAUCGGUGCGAGAUGGGCCCGCGGCCUAUCAGCUUGUUGGCGGGGUAACGGCCCACCAAGGCGACGACGGGUAGCCGACCUGAGAGGGUGACCGGCCACACUGGGACUGAGACACGGCCCAGACUCCUACGGGAGGCAGCAGUGGGGAAUAUUGCACAAUGGGCGAAAGCCUGAUGCAGCGACGCCGCGUGAGGGAUGACGGCCUUCGGGUUGUAAACCUCUUUCGACAGGGACGAAGCGAGAGUGACGGUACCUGUAGAAGAAGCACCGGCCAACUACGUGCCAGCAGCCGCGGUAAUACGUAGGGUGCGAGCGUUGUCCG
rnacentral:rRNA from 1 species